UUGGCUGUGGCUCGGAGGUAGAGCAUCUGCUUUGAAUGCAGAAAAUCUGCAGUUCAAUUCUUGGCAUUUCCUGUUAAG
rnacentral:tRNA from 1 species